UACGUAGGGCGCGAGCGUUGUCCGGAAUCAUUGGGCGUAAAGAGCUCGUAGGCGGCCUGUCGCGUCUGCUGUGAAAUCCCGGGGCUUAACCCCGGGCGUGCAGUGGAUACGGGCUGGCUGGAGGCAGGCAGGGGAGAACGGAAUUCCCGGUGUAGCGGUGAAAUGCGCAGAUAUCAGGAGGAACACCGGUGGCGAAGGCGGGUCUCUGGGCAGUAACUGACGCUGAGGAGCGAAAGCGUGGGGAGCGAACAGG
rnacentral:rRNA from 1 species